GGAGGUAUAGCUCAGCGGCAGAGCUGCUGAUUACUAGUCAGUGUGCGCAGGUUCGAGUCUUGCUACCUCCG
rnacentral:tRNA from 1 species